rnacentral:piRNA from 1 species
GUUAAGUAAGCCAGGUUCAGA